UGAAAAUGAAUUCUCUUUAAUUUAGUCUCGUAGUCAAGCUAAUCGUUUUUCUUAAAAUUAAAACAUUUACUUUUAGUGAUAAAUAGGCUUUUAAUAUACUUAUUAACAGAGCCGGUCCUUGUUUUGCUAAAGCUACAAGCCAAAAAUAAUAAUAUGGCUGGUUAUGGCAUGAUUAACCCCGGUUUCUUAACCAGAGUUAUUUACUCAUGAUUUGACACAUUUUUUUAAAGCUAAUAGACGGUUCUUAUAUCUCUUAUUUAAGAGACGGUUCUUAGCUUUUCAUAGUUAAAAUCUAAGAAAAACUAAGAACCGUCUUUUAGCCAAAACUAAGAAUCCCAGUUAAGAGACCGAUGUUAAUUAUAGUCUUAGGUUUGAACCCUUCACCUCUAAUAGAAAAUAAAGGCAUUUGAUCACCGGACUAAAGUAACUUUUAUAGAAUUUUGUGGCUGAUAUUAUACUUAAUAAAAUGAAGGCCGAAAGUCUAUACUUUAUUAGCUUCUAGCAAGGGUCGACACUGCUUAUUAACUAAAUUGCGAUAAAUAUGUAAAUUAAAAGAUAUUUCAUAGACUUACCCCACAGGUAAAACGUAUAAUAUUAUACCUAAUUUUCCAAGAUGCUAACCGUUAAAAUUUAUCAAUCACUCAUGAUGUUUAAAUCUAUAAAACUGUUACCUUGGAUAACAAGAAUCUCGUCUCUUUGGUGUCUUCUUUUGGGAAAGAAUAGACUACACAUAUCUAACAUGAUAAUGAAUACACACACAUAUAUAUAUGCAUGCAGGUAUAUGUUGAUAUCAAAUUUUUUUUGGAAGAGUUAUAUAUGGUUUGUGGACCACAAAAAACUGAUAUAUGAACUGGAAAUAUGGCAAUGUUGAGAGUGACAAUUCCUUCUGAAGCGGGGGCUAAAAUUGAGAAAACGAUACAAAGUUUGUAAAGUUCCAAGACUUUUUGAGUUUUCAGUACCACGCAACACAUGCAUUUUCUAGGGAUGUUCUAGUCAUUUCGUUAUGAAAAUGGACAGUGUCAUUACAAAAAACAUAAGCUGAGCUAAUUUCUCGGCUUGUCUGGUGACCUGAGUUCCAUAGCUAUUCGAUCAAUCAUUUCUUAUUUUUGCUUCUAACUAAAUUCUGUUGACAAAUUCAUUAUUUAAAUAUUAAAUAUAAGUGAAAUUAUCAAAAUUCAACACUUUACAAUAUUAUUGAUUUUAGUAUAAGUGAAAUUAUCAAAAUUCAGCAUUUUGUACAACUACGACGGUGUAAUUUUUUUCCUAUCUGGUUAAAUAAUUUUUUUGCUUAUAUUUUCAUUUUAAUAUGGUUUUUUAUUGCUAUAAAUUUUAUAAAAUUAUAGCAUGUCGCACUAUCUUUUUCACAGUCACUAUCGACGCCUUGUUUGUAUGAUAAAAAUGAUUUUUAUUUAAAGAUGAAAAGAGUAAAUUUUUGAUUGGUAACUGUAAUAUUUACAUAAGUAUUAAUAUUUUAAACUUGACUUUUAGGGUUAGAUAACUAUAAAAGUUCAGUAAAAUACACAAUUGCGAUGUGAUUUUUUUUUUUUGAAACUUAAUUGCCAUAUGAAUUUCACAGAAAAAAACUGACAUUCAAACAAAAAAGUGACAUCCUUAAAUCGGUUUUUAUUCUGUGUAAGCAUGCAUUACAAAAUAAACUAGUCUACAACCAAACUGACAACAUAUAAUGAGAUAUUCUUCGGUGAUUAUAUUUCUACCCAUUUUAACCAAACGCACAAAGUGUGACAAGAACCCUAAAGGUCAACAUACAGAUCGAACCAGAUGUACAAAACAAAUAAAACAUCAAGAAAUAUUCAUUUGAAAGUUUUAAAUGUUCUCUAAGAAUGUUUAACUUUUUUUUUUCUUUUUCUAGAAAACUAUGUAGGAAGGCAAGUGCAACAGCAGGAUAGCAAAGGAGAAACUACCUGGCAAGUUAACUUGUGUAGGAAGAAACAGAUUAUCUUCCGAAUUUCUUUCACUAUCUCUCGUCGUGACACACCAGAACAGCUGAAAAUAGAGUUCGGAAUGAAAACUUAACUUUGCCGAGGGUUUUUAAAACAAGGGAAAGUUUUGAUCAGAAGAGAUUCAAGAAAGAUAAAAAAAUAUUUAGGGUUUAUGAUUGAAUUAGUCUUUUUCUAGCUCCAUCACUUGAUUAUUUGAUAUUCCCAUGCCUAUAAUGUUUCUGAUUCCACAUGGCUUUAUUUUUCAUUUUUAACCUUUAAAGGUUGUAUAUAUAAACAAAACUAUUAUCUCAAACUCGUUAGUCUUGAUAAUUAGAUAAACAUGAGGAUCCUUAAUAAUAAAUUUAUAUGGUGCUCAGUCAUAAAUGACACGAAUGGUUGUGACUUAACAUUAGAAUAUUUUGAAUAAAUUUCAGUAUAACCUUAAGACAAACCCUACUACUAUAUUAGAGAAGCACAGAAAAACUUGCUUGUUGUAACUUGAAAAGCAGAAAUAAAUAAAUAAAAUUCCCAAGGACACAUGACACAACUCACAAGUGUGUGCGAGUGAUGGUUUGUUCCUUUAAAAGUUUCUGAUUUGUGUCAGUGACUAUAGGUGUGAGUGAGUUGUCAUUUGGAAACGCCAAACUAUACCGGGCAAAUGGAGAAACGGGAUAUAUUACUAACAAAUGGAUUUUUAAAACGCAGUGAAGCUUUCUUUUUACUAUUUGUAAUGGUAAAAAUAUGUACUUAUACAGUUAGGUCAUUUGAUAUCUUAACAUGUUGCGUUAGACCAAGAGUCAGAGAAGCAAUGUGUACUUUGUUCGACGGCGCAACUAAUACAGACUGAUCAUCCCAAUGGAUCACGACCAAACUUGAUUGAAAAUAUCGGACCGGUUUACUAUAGAUUCAAAUAUUUUGUCGGAAUCAUUGUGGACAAAAUUACUGAAGGAUAUAACACACAUAGAAGAAUGGUAACACUUCAUACACAAGUAGGGACCAUAACCCAUGUGAAGAUUGAUCAAAGAGAAAAAAGAUCUUAACGAGUUAUUAUCUUAUAUUCGUAUCCAUCAUGUGGCAAUUGUGGGUAUGAGUGUGGGUGGGGGCAGAAAAUGUCACAUCAAUUUCACAUAUGGGCGCUUAAUUUCUCCCAUUUUCUAAACUGACCCCUCUUUCUCUGAUAGAUAUAAGUUCGGAUCCUGAAGAGAAAAUAAGAUGAUCGAUGGGUUAAUGAUUGUGCAAGCAAAUGUCUACAUUUACCAUAAUCCACGUUUCUUGAUCUUUUUUUUUUUUCGUUUCUUGAUCUUAAUUCUCAGUUACGAUGAUUUAAAUUAAUAAAUAUACUAAUUUAUCUGUUGAUGUAACUUUUUUAAAUAAAAUUGAAGUUAAGAUAAACCAAUAUUACAUAUUCUUUUAAUUUAUUAAAAUCAUGUUUAAUCUGAAUUCGGCAUGUACGAGAUAAAUGCACAAAAUCGAUGGUAAGUUAUUAAAAAUAUGUUUUUUUUUUACGUCGAAAGGUCAUUCUAUUAUUCAAGCUAGAGGUGGUCUGGGUAACCAGACCGGAAUAGAACAACCAAUAAAAAGUAAUUCCCUAUGGAAGGAUCUCGCAGUUUUAGCUAAGAAAUCUGAAGUCUGAUUGCGCGCUCUUGGUACAUGAGUGAUGCUGAAGUCCGGGAAGCAUAUUUGAAGCGUUUCUAUCCUCUCCAAUUUCGUUGCAAAGUUAUUAAAAAUAUGUUUACUCAUUGAUUAAAUUGAUUAUAAAUAGAAGAUGAAAUAGUAAAUAUAUCAUGAAGUUGACAAGAACGUUAAAACUGUGUAAACCGUAAUUCUUGUGCUGACUUUUGUGCGAUUGUGAAUAAUUAUGCUAUAAUAUAGGUCGUUUUCUUAUAAAGUCGACUCCAUUCUCUUUUUUCCUCCAAGUCGGCGUGUUCCUUUGACCGCCUCUUAAUAAACUGUGCCAAAUUCAGUUUAUUUGAUGGGCUUUGUUCGAUCGAUGUAAUCCAUCUCCAACAAUAAAAUUCUAUAAUUCAUUGUGAGACACUACAAUAAAUCUUCAUAAUAGGUAAGGACUGGCGACAAAAAUUUUGUAGUCUGAAUUAUUAACGACGUAAAUGGUAACAGAUAGCCAUAAAACAUAAAUUGACCAAAUUUGUGGCUACUUUGUAGCGAUCUGUAGCUGUUUAGAAAUAAAUUAGUUGUAGUAAAAAAAAUUAAUUAGUCAUAAAUGGGUUACAACUGUUUUUUUUUUUGCUAAUUAAUUAUGAAUACUAUAGUUUUUCAAAAAUAUUGUAUAUAAUGAGAGUUUAUUUUUGUAUAUAAUGAGAGUUUGGGCUAUCCUGGCCUUGUACUUAUAUUUUGCAUUGAUUUGUUCAGAGCUCUAGGAUUUCUAAACGGAUCAUUAUCACGGACAAGAUGACCAAUUUAAAGCUUUGGAGAAGCUGGGUUUUCAACAAAAAAUUUAGUAGUUCUAGAUCUUUUUGUAUUUAGUUUUUACAAUGUUAACAUUUUACUAUUAAACAAGUUAAUUUUUGUUCAAUUAUGUCUAAAAUUAAAUUUAAAAUUUAAUUAAAUUUUUCAUUUUUAAAUUUUGAGGAUUAAAUAUGAUUUUAAAUAAAUAAUUAUAUUUUAAUUUUAAAUUAUUUAAAUCAUAAUGUGGUUACAAAAAGUCUGUAGCUAUAUUUGUCACUAACUAGCACUAGAAUAAGUUGUAGCUAUAUCGUUGCUAUUGGCUACGGAAAUGGCUAUUGCUAGUUCAUUCCUAAAUAGCUACGGAUUGAGUUUAGUGUCGGUGCAAGAAUUAAUUUGUUGCUAUCUGUCGUAAGCUGAUCUUAGCUACAUAUUGUAUUUGAUAGCUACAAAAUAAUCGGUAGCUAUUUAAGUAAGUUUUUGUAGCUGAGAGACGAAGUUGAUCUCAAUGAAUUUGUAAGAGUAGGUCCUAAAAAUAAACAACUCAACACUUGUCUCUCAAAUUCUGUCAAGUUUCCAUCUCGGGACUUACAAGAGAUUAAGAAUAGUUUGUAGCAAACCAUCAACAUCCCGCUUAGUGCUAGUCAUACCAAUAUUAAAUCGAUUAAAUUAAACUGGAUUCUAGUUUACUGAUGGGCCAUAAAUUUUACCCACUUUUAGCCAUGGUGUAUAAGUGUUUGAAUAAUUAAUUACUACGAUAUAGAGUCUAUUUAGAGUGUUUACAGGUUCAUGGACGAUUUGAAAGAAAUUGGUGAUUUUGGUGUAUUUUGGAGCCUUUUGAGUGCAGAGCUGCAUAGACGCGUUACAUGUUUAGCUAUGGAUGGAGACCUUACGACCGUUAUAUUGAGCCUAUAUUGUAAAAGAGGAUAUAUCUUUGAGGUAUCUUUCCAAUGCCGCCGGUUUGAAGUUAAUCAGCAUCCCGUAGCAGAAGUUAUGCCCAUUUUACUGAAUCGUGGUCAGUUUGCCAUGCGAGAGGAAGCUGUCGAGGAGAUGAAGGACUGACGAUCAACGGUGCACCCUUGGUAUCGAUCGACGGUGAUUCUAGAACACGGACAGAGCAUAUUUUAUGACCGACUGAAGCCCAUAAGCAACCACAAAUUACCAGAAUACCUUUGGACGACCUAAAACCCUAUUUAUGUAUUUUCUAAGCCAUUGUUGACGGCUACAUUGUAUAUUAUUCAUAGUUCUAGGUUUGGAGAGAAGAGAGGAACUCCUUGAGAGUCCUCUUGGUACUCCAUCGGUACUAAUUUAUAUUAUCCAUAGUUCUUCUAUUCAUCUAUGAUUUAUGUGACAACUAUCAUGUCUGAGUAUAUCCACCUGUUAGGUUUAGGGUUCUAUAUGGUUUUGAUGAAUUAGCCCCAAAAUAAGAUUGUUAGAGAAUUGAUACCCAAAAAAGAAAUGGAGUUCGCCCUAGUUGCCUUUUCUCUCUGACACGGAGUCCGAGACAGCCGCACAGCAAGCUCCUCAGCCAGAAUGAAGAUCUCUCGCCAGUGAAGCUCCUACUCCUCACUGCCUUCCGCCGCCGCCGUGGACGCACACUCCGCGAAGUUUCUCCUUUUGGUAUCUUCCUCUUUCCCUACAAUGGCUUUCCUUGUAGCUGAAUCAUCUGCUCCUCCUUCCCUGCCCCCUGAACCACCAGAUCCAGAUCUACAGGUGGUGUGUCCGGUAGAUCCUCCAGAGCCUCCAGUUCCCCCGGAUCCUCCACCGUGAGGCGUGUCUCUUGGGCUUCCUUAAGCAACCGUCUAACCACAAAAUGGCGUCUCCGUUUUGCUUCUUACUCUGGUGGAAGUUUUGGCUCUCUCCAAGACCAUCUCCUCAAGCUUUUUCCCAGAUCUCAACUCUGAAACCUCCAUCCAGGAUAGCGACAGGAAAUGGUGGUGGUGGCGUUCUCCCUGUGUCCGCUAGUGACACUUACUUUGGGCUUCAUUCUCCUGUGGUAUACAGGUCUCUAUUUGAGUGUGUCGAUUGGUCGUCAAGUCAUUCUCCUGUGCUAUACAGGUCUCUAUUUGGGUGUGUGGAUUGGUCAUCAAUCAGUUCUUGUUUCGACCUCCCCACCACUUCUCUUUGUAAGGUCCUUCAUGCUCAUCUUAGCUCUUUAUUCUCUACUUAUUCUGCUACUGUAGAAUGGUUUAGACUGCUAUUUGUGUGGGUAAUGUUGGAAUUGAGGUUCAUGAUUCUAAAUGGUGAUAUACCGAUGGGCUUAGUUUCAUUUGGUUCUACCUUUGCGACCUCUAGUAGCAUUUAUAUCGCCUUGGCGCGAUCGUCUGCAGUAUGCAGUUCUCUUACGGGUUUCAUUCCGGAUGUUGGUGUUGUGUUUGUGUAUCUCUCUUCUUGGUGGCAGUUAGAAGAGAAAUUCAUUUUCAUCUUUAUCCCGAUGAAUUUGGAUGUGAUGGGAAAUGAUUUCCCGCUUGUCCCUCGUUUGAAUCAGUCUUCUCUCCUAAUAUUUCCUCCUAUAAGGAGUGAAUUGGAUGAACGAGCUUCGUUGGUAUUGCAAGGAUUUUCCUCCCAUCGAAUGUUCUUCUCUGCGUAUGGUGCAGUGUGUGUGGUCUUACAGGUUACACUAGAUGCGGUCUUUGAAGAAGCUUAUGAAGUUGUUGUGAUCCAAUUUCAUAUGGCUCUUUUUUUGUGAUUUGUAUCGCCAUUCUAUCCCUUAUGUUGUUGUUGUUAGUUUGGCUGUCAAUAGCCUGUUUGUAUCCUCCUUUGAUGGAGUGUAAACAUAUUUAAAAUUAAUGCAAGUUUGGUUUGAUAAAAAAAAAGAGAAUUGAUACCCAUUGAUUAGAAGUAUUCUUAAUGCAUAGUUCUAGAGUAAUUAACUAUAUCCUGAAUGUAGGACAUAUUAUGAUUGUGUGAGUAGAUUCAUAAUAUUCUGAUUGAGUUAGGUUUGUUAUAAAUACGUGAGAACUGAUCGACCAUUCUUAGUGUUAAUCAACUCGCCACAACCAUCGAUCGAUAUCGACACUUGACCGUCGAUCGAUAGUGUUAUAAAGUGAGCGGUUGAGUCCUAGCGUAUCAGGUCGCCUAGCAUCUUAUCUAUUAUAUUUCAUGUGCCUAAAUUCUAGAUCUAGCAACCAUCCUUCCAUCAAACAGCUCUCAGUCCCAUAAAAAUAACUAUCUUGUUCGCCCCAUUAAUUUACUAUAUUUACUGCAUUAAUAAACUAUUAGUCUAGCUUAAUCAUAUAACUAUUAGAUCUAUUGUGUUCCCUAGCUCCAUGUGGAUUCGAUCCCUAAGUACUACAACUCGACCUCUUAUUUGAGAGUAUAAAUUACUCUUUAGGGUAAUUUGAGUGACAUCAAAUUUGGUGCCGUUGCCGGAGAGCUUCGAUCGCCAUUAGAUCUUGUUUAGUUAGAUUUAGUCUAGAUUUUACUACUGUUCUAAAAACUCAUAAAAUUUUUUUUUCUAUUUCCGGUACAUACAUCUCAGUACCAGGAAACAAUGAGGAGAUGAUUUCUAGGUCUUUCAAAGAAGGAGCUUGCUGAUUCACGCACGAUCCGUAAGUCUACAAGGAAAGCAUCGAUCGACACCCUCCAAGCAGCAUCGAUCGACAUCGUGAACUAAGCAUCGAACAGCACUGUUCAUCCCAAUACUGUUCAUCAUGGUACUGUUCAUCCCAGUACUGUUCAUCCCAAUACUGUUCAUCAUGGUACUGUUCAUCCCAGUACUGUUCAUUAAGGUACAGUUCAUCUCGAAACUAUUCAUCAUGCGCCGAUCGACACUGUUCAUCUCGUGUCGAUCGACACUGUUCAUCCCCGUCGAUCGACACUGUUCAAACUGCUUCAAUCGAUACUUUUCAUCCAGACACUGUUCAUCGCGACACUGUUCAUUUGGGCAGUGUUCAUCCCGACACUGUUCAUCCGCUGGAAAAUGACACAACCUACGGGGAGACAGAGAAGAUCGAAGUGCUCAUACUUAAAGUCGACGAUAAUGGGAUGUUAAGAGAUGAAGAAGAUCGCACUCAAAACAACGCAUGAAAAUUGAUUAACGCUAAGGGUGCUGUGAUCCCUGAUGUGAUUGUUGUUGCUGAUAUGAAUGACUUUGACCUGAGCCGAGAGUGGUAUGAUUGGGGAAGUCAAGACCCCUUCCAAGGUCUUCCUCACCAGGAUCCCAUAAACCACAUUGAAGAGCUUGAGGAUCUCGUGUCAAGGAGUGAGCAUAAUGAAGUACAUGUUUGAAUACCACAUGCUCUGCAAGAUUUUCCCAUAUUCUAUUUAUGGGGAUGCAUUUAGCUGGAUCAGUCAACUACAGCCAGGAUCUCUAACCAGUUGGGAGGACACUGAAAGAACCUUCUUUUACAAAUUUCUUGAUGAGGCUGAAGCAACUCGAGAAAGGGAGAAGAAUGAUAAAUGGGAUAGGAUGGUUGAAAGUUGGCAAGUAAUGAGGGAAUAUCAGAUUCCAAGACAGCUGUUCGACUAUAUUAUGGCAGAGAGAGAUGAAUAUCAUGGAUCUGGAGAGCCGAGCAGAGUAGACGAAGCUGGUACUGGUGAUCCGACCUCAGCAUCGAUUGACAGUACGUCCUCGGUAUCAAUCAAAAGCAUGACCUCAACGUCGAUCAACACCACGACCUCACCUUCGAUCAACACCAUGACCUCAUCAUCGAUCAACACCACGACCUCACCAUCGAUCGACAUCACCAUCUCAACAUCGAUCGACAGAAACUCCUAUUGCCGAUUAACACCUAUUGAAAUCCUUGAAAGUUCGAGUUGUCCUCAGGACAUUGCAGACUCGACACUGGAGAGCACAUGUGAGUCAAGCUGUUAUCUUGCCUUAGAUGUAGCCAAAGAGAUCACCAUGGAAGAUUUCUUGGAGAUAGAAGAAUUUUUGGAGCUAGAGGAUGGAGAAACGCUUGAAUAUUUUGAUUCUGAUAGGGAAGUCACUAUGGAAGACUUUUUAGAGCUGGAGGAAUGGCUUGACUCGGAGCAGAAGCUUGAUGACGAACGAAACAAUAUGAGAAAGGAUCUGGAAACUUUGUCAAAAGCUAGAAUCAGUUGACACCAACCUGAUGAAAUCGAUCGACAUCCACCCUGCAUCAUCGAACAACAUCCACCCUAUAUCAUCAUUCACCAUCUACCGGAUAGCAUCAAUCUGCACCCACCCGAAGGCAUCGCUCGACACCCUCCUGAUUGCAUCGAUCGACUACACCCACCUGAUAUUGAUUGACAGCCAUUGCUGGACGAACAACGAGGUUGCAUAGUUGAGAUGGAACCGAUUGAGGAAAUGAUGCAUAAGUAUGAGGUCUCACACCUUGCUUUCCAUGAACAUCAGAGACCACCUAUCCACAUAGAAGAAGCUGCUGGGAUUCGCAAAAGAGUGAAGAGAAUACAUGACCCUGUGAAGAUUGUAGUUUCAUGUGCAGUAUUUGAAGUUAAAUUUCCUAUGCCACCCGAUAUAGGUACACAUCUAGGUUUCUACAUUGGGGUUUGAUGAUCAUAUGUAUCCAGUAGCUUCUCAGAGAAGAGAGUUGAGAUGUAGAGGUGAAGUCGAUAAGGGCACCACAGAUGCAAUAUCGAACGACAUUAACAAUCCGACAUCAAUCAACGCUACCACUUCACCAUCGAUCGGCACUGGACGCAUAUUAGAGCAGAAGGAGUUUGAUGUGUGUGAAAAUAUUUUUGAUGGAGAUACCACCACGCGAUCAGACAAGUCUGGGGGAAAGAAGAGGAGAAUUGGAAGAAGGGAAAAAGGAUCAUGGACGGUCCUCAGUUAUCAUUGAUUCCUCACUUCUCAGAUGGUGUCAGGAAAUCCAGAGUGCGCAUCAGAUGCUUCUCACAGCUAUUUGCAAAGCUUCGAGCACUCCUUAUUGCUGAGAUGAUAGACAAAGGAGAACAGUAUGGAGGAGGCUUUCACAAAAGAAUGAUAAAGCUUCACCAAGAAGGCAUUGAGAUUUGUUUUUGAGCAAGUUUUCAUUCUCAUCCGGACUAAAUCAGAUCUCCAAAGUCAAGCUAAAUGACUAUAACAAAGCGCUGAGUGGGAGGCAACCAACUAUUAGGAAAAAAGAAAAGAUCCGAGGAAGACGAGUUUGCACAAGAAUCGACGAUGACUAGCUAGCAUCGAUCGACAGAGCAUCAACAAUAUCGAUCGCAACUUAAAUGUGUUGGGCGACAUUCACAUCAAAAGCAGAUCUGAGUAGACGAUUCCUCAGCACAUCGAACAAUGAGACCAGCUCGAUAUCGAUCGACAGCACUUCAGAUCCAACGAUCGAUUGUCUCUUCAUUGUGUCGAAUAAUUUUUCUAGCCAUCGACCGAUGAGACCAUGUAACUAUCAUUCGACAGUACUUCAGCAACAACGAUCGAUUGUCACUUCAUUAUGUCGAUCGACACUGACAUCAUCGAGCUGGUUAUCAUUCUUGCUUGUUGAAUUGAAUCAUUUUGCUUUAGUUAUCACCAUAACUCUGACUGAAUUUACACUGUGGACAGUGUAGUUUAAGUUUGGGGGGAGGUUUACUGAUAUUAGUUUAUUUCAUGAGUCUUAUUAAAUGUUUAAAAAAAAAGAAGUUUUUAUUGAGUUAAGAAGGGGACAAUGAACUUAUUGAUUUUGCUUGUUAUCUAACUACACCAUUAUAGACUUACUAGUUGCAGAUAGCACUAAAGAUACUAAAGUGGAUCAACGUGUCAACUAUGUUACAAUUGCUGAGAAUGUUUGAAGGAACCAAAGCUAACCUCCAACCUAACUGAGCUCAACUUUGCUUGUCUUGGGGCUUGGUAUACAUGAGAUCAGAUUCUUCAAACAAGUCUGUAAGGUAAAGCCCUGUGUAGAUGUCACCCUCUCUCUCUAUAUUUCGAAAUUUAGAUUU